ACGGAUCCGCCGGCGAGGAGACCGGGGUCACCAGAUCCGGCGGUCCCGGCCUCCUCACUAGGAGAUCCGGCGGCUUAU
rnacentral:pre_miRNA from 1 species